ACUCAAAUGAAUUGACGGGGACCCGCACAAGCGGUGGAGCAUGUGGUUUAAUUCGACGCAACGCGAAGAACCUUACCAGGGCUUGACAUCCCCCGCUAACCAUGGAAACAUGGUGUUCCAGGCUUCGGUCUGGACGGGGAGACAGGUGGUGCAUGGUUGUCGUCAGCUCGUGUCGUGAGAUGUUGGGUUAAGUCCCGCAACGAGCGCAACCCCUACUUUCAGUUGCCAGCAUUAAGUUGGGCACUCUGGAGGAACUGCCGGUGACAAACCGGAGGAAGGUGGGGAUGACGUCAAAUCAUCAUGCCCCUUAUGUCCUGGGCUACACACGUGCUACAAUGGCCGGUACAGAGGGAAGCGAAGCCGUGAGGUGGAGCGAAUCCCAAAAAGCCGGUCUCAGUUCGGAUUGCAGUCUGCAACUCGACUGCAUGAAGUCGGAAUCGCUAGUAAUCGCGAGUCAGCAUAUCGCGGUGAAUACGUUCCCGGGUCUUGCACACACCGCCCGU
rnacentral:rRNA from 1 species